rnacentral:sRNA from 1 species
CUGACUGGCGCCGAUAGUCUGGCAACAGAGCGUCGGAUGCCGGAAAGUUGGUCAAACUUGAUCAUUUAGAGGAAGUAAAAGUCGUAACAAGGUUUCCGUAGGUGAACCUGCGGAAGGAUCAUUACCGAUCAAUCAAUCAAUCACCAGAUGGCUAUUAUAUAAAGCCAACUGCCGUGUGAACCGUACCGAAGCAUUCUUUUUUCCAGGGGUCGGCCCGGGGGGCCGUUAAAUGGCCAACGGACGCGAGGCCGGGGUCUCGCGGCCGCUUGGCCUGCCCCGCCCUUGUUUUUUUUGUUUUAACGUACGAAUACGCUGUCUGAUGACCCGGAGGGCAGGCGUCCGCCUCCCCCAGGUAGAAAGCAAAAGAGAGAGACAACUUUUGACGGUGGAUCUCUUGGCUCACGCAUCGAUGAAGAACGCAGCCAGCUGCGAUAAGUAGUGUGAAUUGCAGAAUUCAGUGAAUCAUCGAAUCUUUGAACGCAAAUGGCGCUCUUGGGUUCUCCCAGGAGCAUGUCUGUCUGAGUGUCGGAUUGUCAUCCAUCGCGGGUGCGCGCUCCAGUUCCAGUGAGACAGUGAGAACGCGCCGGCGGCGUUGAGGCGUCACGGCCCCCCCCCGAGUUGGACGGGCCGUGUCCCUCGAAAGGCAGAGAGACUCACUCGCUGCGGUCCGGGGCUUGUUCCCGCGGCGCACAAGCGGAGGCUAAAAGUGUCAGCACUCCUUCGCGCGCCGCCGGGUCCCCCGCCGCGCGGCCGAGUCGCGUAGGCGAACACAAAAACCACCUUCUGACCUCAGAUCAGGCAAGG